ACGAACGCUGGCGGCGUGCUUAACACCUGCAAGUCGAACGGAAAGGCCCUGCUUUUGUGGGGUGCUCGAGUGGCGAACGGGUGAGUAACACGCGAGUAACCUGCCCUUGACUUUGGGAUAACUUCAGGAAACUGGGGCUAAUACCGGAUAGGAGCUCCUGCUGCAUGGUGGGGGUUGGAAAGUUUCGGCGGUUGGGGAUGGACUCGCGGCUUAUCAGCUUGUUGGUGGGGUAGUGGCUUACCAAGGCUUUGACGGGUAGCCGGCCUGAGAGGGUGACCGGCCACAUUGGGACUGAGAUACGGCCCAGACUCCUACGGGAGGCAGCAGUGGGGAAUAUUGCACAAUGGGCGGAAGCCUGAUGCAGCAACGCCGCGUGCGGGAUGACGGCCUUCGGGUUGUAAACCGCUUUCGCCUGUGACGAAGCGUGAGUGACGGUAAUGGGUAAAGAAGCACCGGCUAACUACGUG
rnacentral:rRNA from 1 species